rnacentral:sRNA from 1 species
AAAUAUGGGGGAUGUAAAACCGCCCAAAAGGAUUAGGUGGCGGCCACAAUCCUGUCUAAAUCGUUCAAGAACGAACCAAUUUUGGGCGAAUCCGCGAAAUUCGUACGGGAUCGGCAACGCCACUCGCGCCUUUCGCCGGGCCCUCGGU